ACUGUUUUCAGGACAGUAGCUAAAUGUUUGUUUAGACUUAAAUUUAUUCUUGUUUUGCAGAGUUCCAGACGUUAUUCAGAAGGUGACCUACCAGGAGAGACUAGAGCGAAGAAUCUCAGACAUUGUUCAGAAGGUGACCUACCAGGAGAGACUAGAGCGAAGAAUCCCUUGUCUUUGGUGAGAUCGGGAGACAAAGAAGCUUGCGUCCUCCUAUCAAUCUCAAAACUCUCCUGCGAUGAAGAACAUCAAACAAUAGAUUCGGGAGCAAGAGAUAACACAAAAGAAUUCAUCGCCUAAUAUUGCUUAAAAUGAAAAAAUUUAAAGAUAUUGAAUGGAGCACACUAUCGUCUUUAAUUUUGUUCAUCACUCAUUCUAUUGUCAUUCGAUUGUGCGAAGAUAUUAAGUGCAGCAUAUUUUUAUUUGAAACUGAUAUAAUGUAAAGAAAAAUAAGAAUGUCAAUAACUGACGAUAGAAAGUCCUUGUUCGCCUUGUUAUAAAGGUGAAUUAGCCUUUUUGCCAAAAAUAUAUUGGCAAGUUGAACAUGAACAAAAAUUUGAGAAUUGACGAUACAUGUAGAUAGAACUCUUGUAUACUUAGAUGGUAAUUUUUAUUUCUUAUCUUUCUUUCAAUUACAUUUCGAUUCCAUUACGCGUUUCUCUAACUUGCUUUAAUAUAUAGAUUUAGCCGAGCCUAAAAGCGGAGCUCUUAUUAGUUUAUUUUCCAGCCCUACGUUACACUGUAUAAAAACUGUAAUAAAACUAUUUGCUGGCAAGUCUCUGUAAUAAAACUAUCUACU